rnacentral:ncRNA from 1 species
CUAUAGAACUAGUGGAACUUGCCGCCUUGUGGAGUAAUCCAUAAGUGAAAAUCGGAUGAAUUCACGGGAACCCUAAGUCAUUUGAUACGGAUACCGUGAGCCAAGCCAAGUGAAUUACUUUAAUCGUAGCUUGGAAGGUGCAACGCAUAGACAGUGAGGACGGUAUACCGAUAACCUGUCCACGAGCGUCCGACAUCCUUUAAGGAUGAAGAGGUAUGCUGAACUACUUGGAAACAAGUAG